CCUACGGGAGGCAGCAGUGAGGAAUAUUGGUCAAUGGGCGGGAGCCUGAACCAGCCAAGUCGCGUGAGGGAAGACGGUCCUAUGGAUUGUAAACCUCUGUAGGCGGAGAGCAAUGCCGGGCACGCGUGCCCGGAGGGAGAGAACCCGCAGAAUAAGCAUCGGCAAACUCCGGGCCAGCAGCCGCGGUAAUACGGGGGAUGAGAGCGUUAACCGGCUUGAUGGGGUUUAAAGGGGGCGUAGGCGUAUGUUUAAUUCAGGGGUAAAAUGUCCGGGCUCAACCCGGGCCGGCCGUUGAAACUGGUGAUCUUGAGUGGGCUAGCAGUAUGCGGAAUGCGUGGUGUAGCGGUGAAAUGCAUAGAUAUCACGCAGAACUCCGAUUGCGAAGGCAGCAUACCGGCGCCCGACUGACGCUGAGGCACGAAAGCGUGGGGAUCGAACAGGAUUAGAUACCCCAGUAGUC
rnacentral:rRNA from 1 species